rnacentral:rRNA from 1 species
ACCUACGGGGGGCAGCAGUGGGGAAUAUUGCACAAUGGGCGAAAGCCUGAUGCAGCGACGCCGCGUGAGGGAUGACGGCCUUCGGGUUGUAAACCUCUUUCAGCAGGGAAGAAGCGAAAGUGACGGUACCUGCAGAAGAAGCACCGGCUAACUACGUGCCAGCAGCCGCGGUAAUACGUAGGGUGCGAGCGUUGUCCGGAAUUAUUGGGCGUAAAGAGCUUGUAGGCGGUUUGUCGCGUCUGCUGUGAAAAUCCGGGGCUCAACCCCGGACUUGCAG